UUUUUCUCUCUCCCCCCCGUUUUUCUCUACAUAGCGGAGGAAAAGAAACCAACCGGGAUUGCCUCAGUAACGGCGAGUGAAGCGGCAAGAGCUCAAAUUUGAAAUCUGGCCCCUCCGGGGUCCGAGUUGUAAUUUGCAGAGGAUGCUUCGGGUGCGGCCCCUGUCUAAGUGCCCUGGAACGGGCCGUCAGAGAGGGUGAGAAUCCCGUCUUGGGCAGGGUGCCCGUGCCCGUGUGAAGCUCCUUCGACGAGUCGAGUUGUUUGGGAAUGCAGCUCAAAAUGGGUGGUAAAUUUCAUCUAAAGCUAAAUACCGGCCGGAGACCGAUAGCGCACAAGUAGAGUGAUCGAAAGAUGAAAAGCACUUUGAAAAGAGAGUUAAACAGCACGUGAAAUUGUUGAAAGGGAAGCGCUUGCAACCAGACUCGGCCUCGGGGUUCAGCCAGCAUUCGUGCUGGUGUACUUCCCCGGGGCCGGGCCAGCGUCGGUUUGGGCGGCCGGUCAAAGGCCCCAGGAAUGUAUCGUCCUCCGGGACGUCUUAUAGCCUGGGGUGCAAUGCGGCCAGCCUGGACCGAGGAACGCGCUUCGGCACGGACGCUGGCGUAAUGGUCGCAAACGACCCGUCUUGAAACACGGACCAAGGAGUCUAACAUCUACGCGAGUGUUCGGGUGUCAAACCCGUACGCGCAGUGAAAGCGAACGGAGGUGGGAGCCCCCCCGGGGCGCACCAUCGACCGAUCCUGAUGUCUUCGGAUGGAUUUGAGUACGAGCGUAGCUGUGGGGACCCGAAAGAUGGUGAACUAUGCCUGAAUAGGGUGAAGCCAGAGGAAACUCUGGUGGAGGCUCGCAGCGGUUCUGACGUGCAAAUCGAUCGUCAAAUUUGGGUAUAGGGGCGAAAGACUAAUCGAACCAUCACAAGGCCUC
rnacentral:rRNA from 1 species